GUCCCCUGCCUGUGCUUCUUGUCUGCUUCUGCUCCUUCUUUGCCUUUCCUGCAUCUGGUACAGUUGUAGCUUGCCAUUGCAGGUGCUGUAUUUCUCUGAAUCCCUCGUGCCCACGGCAAGGAAGGCUUUGUGUGACCCACUGGAGGAGGUCAGAGAGGCGGCAGCCAAGACUUUCGAGCAGCUGCAUUCCACCAUCGGCCACCAGGCUCUGGAGGACAUUCUCCCAUUUUUACUAAAGCAGCUGGAUGACGAGGAGGUGUCAGAGUUUGCCUUGGAUGGUCUGAAGCAAGUCAUGGCUAUUAAGAGUCGUGUGGUGCUGCCCUACCUUGUGCCCAAGCUGACAACGCCACCUGUCAACACCCGGGU
rnacentral:ncRNA from 2 species